ACACACACACACACACACACACACGGAAAGGAAUGUAUACAACAUAAUACCCAGGACAAGGCAUUUCUAAAAUGUCAGGAGCUUCAUCCAGUUUGGGAAUUCUUUCCUAACCUAACGUUCUUACAAUACCACCUUCAAGAUUUACAUCACACUCAGUGGGACUGGGUUCUUCAACAGCUGCAGCACUUACUGCCCACAGUAAACAAUCACAGCUUUUGGGUGUGACAGCAAAGACAGUUCUCAUGAAAACAUAUUUGAUCCCAUGGAGAAAUCUAACCAGUCUCUGCAUGGGAUUUUUUGUUGUUGUUGUUGUUUUGCGGUACACUGGCCUCUCACUGUUGUGGCCUCUCCCAUUGCGGAGCACAGGCUCCGGACGCUAAGGAUCAGCGGCCAUGGCUCACAGGCCCAGCCGCUUCAUGGCAUGUGGGAUCUUCCCAGACCGGGGCACGAACCCGUGUCCCCUGCAUCGGCAGGCGGACUCUCAACCACUGCGCCACCAGGGAAGCCCUACGUGGGAGUUUUUCCAUCCAAAUUGACAGCUACUUGGUUACAACGUUUACAAAAUUUGUCAGGCUUACCAAGACCAUCAUUAAUAAGCCCUUGGGAAAGACUUGAGGGAAAUUGCAGCCCAAUGUUACUCUUCUGGGGGAUCUUAAAACAUAUACAUCCCAUCUUACAGAAUAAAAAUGAAAAGCCCAGUGGCAAAGGUAAUGUGGGAGGAAAUCUAUUGGUAUCGUUACAUGACCAGCUCCCAAGAGGCCACGUCUGAGGCUGUUAAAGCUAUACAAAUAGCUGCCCAAGGAAAAUUUCCCCUAGAAUGGAAGCAGUGGAACAGGUAGCCCUGCACUGAAAUUCAGCAGCCUUGUGAUAAACAGGGACAGAAAUGGGACAAAUGUACAGUCUGUUUUUGCAAUCACUUGGCCCACCCAGCUGUUUGUUACUGGUAGUUGGCAGGAAACUCAAGCAACAAUCGCACCACUCUGAGCAAGAAAGAACAUACAUACAAUUGCCCACCAAAACAAACCUGCAUGUUGCCUUAGUCACAGCAAUGUAUAAGAUGGCAAAUUUAAGCACAUUCUGCUUACACAGUCAUUUAUUCACACAAACUUGGUCACAUAUUCACUCAAUAAAAUGAAGAUGCCCACGGAUUCACUCACACACACAAACACACACACUCAAGUAUGCUCACAUGUAAAACUCACACAUUCACUCACAUGCACACAUUAACACAGUCACAAACAGGCAUGCUCACAUAUUCACUUACCCACAAACAUACUCACACACCAUGAAGUUCACACCUUCACUCAUGCAUAUGGAUACACUCAGAUAAAUUCAUACACACUCACAUGUUCACUCAUUCAAAUGUAAUCAAACAUUAACAAGCUUACACGAUCAAACACACUUAAAGAUUCACAUGCACAUGUUCACACACUCACUCACAGGUUUACUAGCACUUGUAGAUACCCUGGUUUACGAACAUGUAUCUACAUAUUCAGACACCCAGAUAUAUUUGAAAUACCAUGUUCACGUACAUGACAGUGCUUACGAAUUCAUUGCACACGUGAAUAUGAUCGCAUAUGCAAGAUCACUCACGUUCCUUCACACACAUCAACACACUGACACGUUCACUCCCACACAGUGGUGUGCUUGGUGUUAAUGGGCUCACACAAUCAACAAUCUCAUGCACACAAACAUGCUCACAAAUUCAUUCACAUACAUAGUGACUCUCCCAUAAAUUCACUUUCACACAUAUCCAUUCUCCCUCUCCCAUUAAUGUGCUCACAUAUACAAACAUGCUCACUAUUUACUCACACAAUAAGAUACUCAAGAAUUCAUACAAACACAGACUCACAUAUAUGCACACGUUCACACAUUCACUCAGUCACAUGAGUUUGCUCACAAAUUCACUUACACACUGGCACACUUGUAUUUGCUUACAUGGACACAGCCACGUAUUCACUUAUGCACAUGCAUUAGCCUGCUCACAAACUAAAAUACUCACAUAUUCAGUCACACACAGAUAUACUCUCACUUUAUCAUGCUGCUUGCACCGUCACUCACGUGUAGACGUAUCUUUACACGUUUAUUCACCUACAAACACACUCAAUCCCUCACACACAUGAACAUGCUCACAGUCACCCACAGAUGAACACUCUCAAAGAAGGGCGUGCGUAUAUAUUUAUUCACUGUUAACAUCAAACAAAGUUACUCUCACACAGAGACAAACUCACGUAUACUCACAAACACGUGCUGAUGCUCAUCAACAGUCACACGUAUGAACUUGAUCACACAUGCAGUCAUACUCAAUAUGUAAAUAUACUUACAUGUUAAGUCCCCAGAGUGCCUGCUCCACAUAUGAACAUGCUCCCACAUUCCCGACAGAAAUUAUUAUCCCACAUAUUACACACUCACACGUUUACUUGCAUACAAAUUCACUCACGUAGUCAAAUACACCCACACGUUAACUGUCUGACAGACAAAUAACAUUCAUAUAUUCAUUCACUGGCAUGAACACACUUAUAUGUAUGCUCAGUGACACUCAUAAAAUAUGUUGACACGUUUAUUCACUCAAACUGGCUCACCCAGUCACUUAAAUGAACAUGGUUACAGUAUCACUCAUGCACAAGACAUUCAUAUGUGUCUCAUGUACAUACACAUUCCCUCACAGGUUGUGCAUGUAAACACAAACAGGGACAUGCUUACACAUUCACUUGCAAAUGAACAUGCUUCCAAACGCACACUCACACUUUCACUCCCAGAAAUAUAUUCUUCCAUUAAGAAGCUCACAUACAUAAACACACUUGCAACAUUCACUCACACACCCCAAAAUGCCCAAACAUCCAUUCCCUCAUACAACCAUGUUCACAAAUUUAUUCCAACCUAAAGACAUACUAAUUUAGGCUUAUGUGCACAGAUCCUGCACAUUGUACACUCUCAAACUCUUUGCACGUGCAAAUGAACACAAAUAGGAGCACACUUACCCAUUCAAUUGCAAAUAAACAUUUUCACGCUCAUCAUGAAACUCACAUGUUCAGACACCCACAGAUGUACAUAUACACUCACAAGUAGAUGCUCACAUAUUCACUCAUAAGUUUACUCAUCCAUUAGCAACCCCAUGCAAACUAGUAUGCUUACAGAUUAACUCGCACACGUGAGCAAGCUAACCUCCAUGAACAAAUUCACGUAUUUACUCAUACACGUGAAUAGGUACAAAUAUGUGUUAAAUACACAAAUAUACUCACACCAACACACUUAUGCCUGAAUAGGCUCACACAUCAAUCUCGUACAUGCACACACAUUUAUUCCCUGACAUGAUCACGCUCAGAGGUUUACUCACACUGGUGGAGACGCUUAUGUACUCACCGAUACAUGCUCAUUCACUCACUCAGACGAACAACUAUUACUCAAACCAACAUGGCUACACACAUGAAAUGCUCACACCUUCACUCACUCGUGAAAAUAUGCUCAUAUAACCAUAUAUUCAUUCACUCAUGUAUCAACACUCAUAUAUUUACUGAUGUACUUUAAUUUAGGCUCACAUGCAUUGACAUGUUCACUUACAAACACAAACAUGGUUUAAAAUUGGCUUGCACACGUAGGGAUUCACAAAUAAUCACUUGCACAUAUUCUCACACCCAGUCACAGAUGCAUAUCAACAUAUUAAGUAUAAAACUUGAUUACCAUUCACUCAUAUAUAUGUUCAAACACACAAAUAAACUUGUGAAUUUACUCAGACACAAAAAUUGAUAAUAUACAUGCACACAUACACAUUGUUACUUAUAAUAACAUGCUCACAAUUCACUCCAAAGGGCACAGUGACAGUUUAACUCACAGUCACACUCCUGUACUCACGAACAGUCUUACACAUUCUGUCACUUGCACAAACAUGUGUGAACAUUCAGUCACAUGAGCAUGAUAAUACAUGUAUUCACUCACGUGAACACGCUCACAAAAUCAUUCACACACUAGACAGACUCAUUUGCACUUAUAUGUACAUACACUGUUUUCUAAAGAUUUUCUUUUGAUGUGGACAUUUUUUUUAUAGUCUUUAUUGAAUUUGUUACAAUAUUGCUUCUGUUUUCUGUUUUGAUUUUCUGGCCAUGUGGGAUCUCAGCUCCCCGACCAGGGAUUGAACCUGCACCCCGUGCAUUGGAAGGCAAAGUCUUAGCCACUGGACUGCCAGGGAAGUCCCUGUAUAUACACUUUAACUUCCAUAAAAUAACAUGAUCACAAAAGGAGCAUGCUCAUGUCUUUAUUUGUCCAUGAACAUGCUCAUACUUACAAACACUUACACAAUCGUCCCUACACUGUGAUUUAUUUAUUUAUUUAUUUUUGGCUACUGUUGGGUCUUCGUUGCUGCAUGCGGUCUUUCUCUAGUUGCGGUGACUGCGGGCUACUCUUCGUUGCAGUGUGCGGGCUUCUCAUUGCGGUGGCCUCUCUUGUUGUGGAGCACAGGCUCUAGGCACGCGAGCUUCAGUAAUUGUUGCACAUGGGCUCUAGAGCGCAGGCUCAGUAUUUGUGGCCCAUGGGCUUAGUUGGUCCGCGGCAUGUUGGAUCUUCCCGGACCAGGGCUCGAACCUGUGUCCCCUGCAUUGUCGGGUGGAUUCUUAACCACUGCUCCACCAGGGGAGGCCCUACUCUGUGAUUUCUUAAUGUUAAAUCAACGUUACAUUCCUGGGAUAAAAAUCCUUUGGUCAUGGCAUACAAUCUUUGUGUAUGUUAUUGGACUGGUACAGGCAUUAUGCCCAAGGAGUCUUGGUCUUUUUCAGGGAGAGUCCAAAACAGGUUCAGUCAGGCAAGAAACUCAUACAACAUGGAAGACUCUCUUCUGUCGUUAUACACAAUCAUGCAUGAAGUGAAUCUUUUUUUAGAAUGAGAAGAAAGUUCAUAAUGAAAAAAGAUAACAACUACCAUGAACAAAAAUUAGAAAAUAUCACACACACACAAUGCCACAUAUGGCAUGAUUCCAUUUCUAUGAAAUGUCCAGAUUAGGCAAAUCCAUAGUGGCAGAAAAGAGAUUAGUGGUUGCCAGUGUUUGAGGAUAGGAGGGAAUGGGGUAUGACCGCUUCCUGGGUAUAGGAUUUCUUUUUUUUUUUUUUUUUUUUUGCGGUACGCGGGCCUCUCACUGUUGUGGCCUCUCCCGUUGCAGAGCACAGGCUGCGGAUGCGCAGGCCCAGCGGCCAUGGCUCACGGGCCCAGCUGCUCCAUGGCAUGUGGGAUCUUCCCGGACCGGGGCACGAACCCAUGUCCCCUGCAUCGGCAGGCUGACUCUCAACCACUGCGCCACCAGCAAAGCCCCAGGGUUUCUUUUUGAGUUGAUGAAAUGCUCUGAAACUAGAUAGCGGUGAUGGUUGCACAGCAUCGUGAAUGUACUAAAAGAACUGAUUGGUACAUUUUAUUUUUAAAACUUUUUAUUUGAUUUGUCCAUUUUAAAUGGACUGAAAUCAUUAAUUUCAUGUUAUUUUAUUUUCACUUUAGUUAAAAAAUAACAAAGAAAGAAACGUGCAACCCGGUCUUAACAGAGAAGAGGCUUCUUGUAAAAAAAAAAGCCUGAGUUGGGACGGAAAGGAUGAUUAGGGCUUAGAACGUCAGUGGGGGCCAAAGCUAUGUAUAAGGUCUAGUUAGGGGAAUGAAGAUGGGCAAAGAUCCAUUAGAAGAAAGAGAACAUAGCAUAUUUGAAGGAUUAAAAGAUGAUCUGUGCAGCUACAGCAGUGAGCAUGGAAUGUGUUCAUUUUGUGAUGUGCCCAGACAUUAAUUUGCACUUACUCUGUGCCAAGCUCUACAUCAAGUAAGCCCUGGUAAAGUAUUAGCUCAUUAAAUCUGUACAGCAAUCCGAUGAGGUUGGGACUAUUUUUCACCUCGUUUACUGAUGGAGAAAUUGAGAAUUAUUAUAUAAGACAGGAUUUGAGAUAUUAAGUCCUGAGCCCAAGAUCUCACAGCCUGUAAGUGAGCUGGAACUUUUAUCCAGGCAGUCUGGUUUGAGAGCUCACACUCUUUAACUGCCACAGCUGCCCAAAGAUACCAGGUCCUGCCUCUGCAGGGCAGCUCAUCUCAUGAGUUUAAAGACACAGGGGAUUGGAAAGUGUUUCCGUGUAGAGUUUAUGUUUACAGUUUGCCUAAAGUUCAACUGAAAUAAUCUUUACCCAUACACUCACACACACCCGCCCAGCCCUCCAGAUACGUUUCUGAGUCAUAGAAGGUUUUUGCCUCUACGUAGUGUUUGCACAGAUUUUACCUUUAGAUCUCCCAAUUCUUCCAAAAUCUUAAGGGUAUUUUGAAAUCCUUCAGGUAGAAAAACUGCCUCACCUGGGAGUGGUGUUCCAUCAGGGGCUCAGGCAGAGGUGUUGAGUGUACCUGAGGCUGGAAUAUUAAAGAAUCAUAUGGGGAAGGAAGCUUUUUUCCUAAUCUCUGAGUUUCCUAGGUGGCCAUGGGAGAAAGAAGAGAAGUCACUAUGCACAUGAACUUUUUUUCUACAUCAAAAUUAAUGACACAUGUAAAUUUCAUUAAAAUCUGUCAACGGUUCCCUAUUUACCAUAUAAACAUAAGUACACUUCCUAACAAAGGUCUUAAAUUUUGUUCUUGUGUUUUUGGAAGUGGGUGUUGCUGAUGUUAUAGUCACUUCUGUGUUUAUUUUGUCUCAGAAGGCAUACUGUUUGCAUUCUUUGUCAGGAUAUAUAAGAGGAAGUAGAUGCGAGGUAAGUAAAAGUUGUUUAAUAUCUGAGCUCAAAAUUCUAUAACCUGUUCUAAGUUUCUGGGUCUCUGCCAACCCUAUUUUGCCUUUCCAGCUGGCUCACUAUUAAGCUGUGCCUGUAGAGAUUUCCUGAGAGAGACAAGAAGUCUGAAGGAAGGAGAAUCUACUAUGUCUUGUCUCUGUUCCUGUUCCUCUCCAGAUCACCCCUUGUAAAGAUCCUCCCGAGGGCAGAGAACUAGAUUCUGCUGCUGAUUUUAAAUCGGGAAAUGUUAUCCACCACCUUGUGAUGCCAAAGUCCGUAUCAUUCGACACUAAAGAAGAGAGUGAACAUCAGUAUGAAAACGCUGAUGAA